CGCGGCCUAUCAGCUUGUUGGUGGGGUGAUGGCCUACCAAGGCGACGACGGGUAGCCGGCCUGAGAGGGUGUCCGGCCACACUGGGACUGAGAUACGGCCCAGACUCCUACGGGAGGCAGCAGUGGGGAAUAUUGCACAAUGGGCGCAAGCCUGAUGCAGCGACGCCGCGUGGGGGAUGACGGCCUUCGGGUUGUAAACCUCUUUCACCAUCGGCGAGGCCCAUAGCUUGUGUUGUGGGUGACGGUAGGUGGAGAAGAAGCACCGGCCAACUACGUGCCAGCAGCCGCGGUAAUACGUAGGGUGCGAGCGUUGUCCGGAAUUACUGGGCGUAAAGAGCUCGUAGGUGGUUUGUCGCGUUGUCCGUGAAAUUCCCUGGCUUAACUGGGGGCGUGCGGGCGAUACGGGCAGACUGGAGUACUGCAGGGGAGACUGGAAUUCCUGGUGUAGCGGUGGAAUGCGCAGAUAUCAGGAGGAACACCGGUGGCGAAGGCGGGUCUCUGGGCAGUAACUGACGCUGAGGAGCGAAAGCGUGGGGAGCGAACAGGAUUAGAUACCCUGGUAGUCCACGCCGUAAACGGUGGGUACUAGGUGUGGGUUUCCUUCCUUGGGAUCCGUGCCGUAGCUAACGCAUUAAGUACCCCGCC
rnacentral:rRNA from 1 species